GAGUUUGAUCCUGGCUCAGAAUCAACGCUGGCGGCGUGCCUCAGACAUGCAAGUCGAACGCGAAAGUUCCCUUCGGGGGGCGAGUAGAGUGGCGCACGGGUGAGUAACACGUAGGUAAUCUACCUUCGGAUGGGGAAUAACAAUCGGAAACGGUUGCUAAUACCGCAUAAUGCAGCGGCACCUAAUGGUGACAGUUGUUAAAGCGGGGGAUCGAAAGACCUCGCGUCUGAAGAGGAGCCUGCGGCGGAUUAGCUAGUUGGUAAGGUAACGGCUUACCAAGGCGACGAUCCGUAGCCGGCCUGAGAGGGCGGUCGGCCACACUGACACUGACAUACGGGUCAGACUCCUACGGGAGGCAGCAGUCGGGAAUUUUGGGCAAUGGGCGAAAGCCUGACCCAGCAACGCCGCGUGAAGGAUGAAAUCCUUCGGGAUGUAAACUUCGCAAGAACGGGAAGAAUAAGUCUGUGUAAAUACCAUAGAUGAUGACGGUACCGUUUGUAAGCUCCGGCUAACUCCGUGCCAGCAGCCGCGGUAAUACGGGGGGAGCAAGCGUUGUUCGGAUUUACUGGGCGUAAAGGGCGCGUAGGCGGCCAGCGCAAGUCAGUUGUGAAAUCUCCGAGCUUAACUCGGAAAGGUCAACUGAUACUGCGCGGCUAGAGUGCGGAAGGGGCAACUGGAAUUCUUGGUGUAGCGGUGAAAUGCGUAGAUAUCAAGAGGAACACCUGCGGCGAANGCGGGUUGCUGGGCCGACACUGACGCUGAGGCGCGAAAGCUAGGGGAGCGAACGGGAUUAGAUACCCCGGUAGUCCUAGCCUUAAACGAUGAAUGCUUGGUGUCUGGGGUUAUAAAGUCCCNGGUGCCGUCNCUAACGCUUUUAACAUCCCCCUGGGAGUACNGUCNCAAACUGAACUCAAAGAAUUGACGGGNACCNCACAANNGUGGANAUGUGGUUUAUNCACNCACNCGAAACCUNACUGGCUANAUGCUNUANACUNAANUNGGCUUNUGGUAAACAANAAUGCAGGGCUCAGNUNCUCCUNUUCUGNAUUUGGUAAUCCCACA
rnacentral:rRNA from 1 species